AUAUGGAAACACCGGUUCUCGUAUGAUCAACGAAGUUAAGCAACGUUGAACCUGGUGUUUAUCUAGAUGGGUGACCGCUUAGGAAUAUCAGGUGACGCAAG